GACACUUUGGCCGAGUGGUUAAGGCGAUGCCCUGCUAUGUUAGCUGGUAAAGGCAUUGGGGUUUCCCCGCGUGUGUUCGAAUCGCACAGGUGUCG